GUUUUAUAAAGGGAGAGGCAAUUCCAUUUCCUGUAAUUCUGUGCUGGCACCCAACCAAAUAAAUACUGUAAAACUCUUCACAGAAUCUGAGCAAAACUACAAUGUGGCCUCAAGAGCUAACACUGGCAUGGACUAGUUGACUUGAAAGCUUAGAGAACUCACCCUCUGGGAUUAAAGCAGUAGCCAGACAGGCAGCUCCUGCCACCACGUUUGCCACUGCCCAGGGAUAACGUCGGCCGAUUCGAUCAACUGUAAGGAU